GUCUACAGUCAUGCAACCCUGAAUGUACCCGAUCUCGUCUGAUCUCGGAAGCUAAGUAGGGUCGGGCCUGGUUAGUACUUGUAUGAGAGACCAUCUUGGAAUACCAGAUGCUGUAGACG
ensembl:rRNA 5S_rRNA 5S ribosomal RNA